UUUCCAGCCUUAAGCCUAGUUCUCAGAGCUUCGUAGUGUCGCCAGCGACAGUUCUCCAGCCAAUCAGAGCAUGUAAACAAAACUUCCCCUGACCCCUUCCUUUUCAUUUCUGGUUGUCGAGAAGUGUCGCGACACGCCCCUUUUGUAGUUGAAAUAUUCCAACUUCCAACUACACCUCGAAUUUCUGCGACAAUCACAAGUAAAUAUAACCUAUCUGUCAGCCGCAAAAACAGUUGUUUUUGAUUUUAGAUAUUCUUUUCAGUAUUUUUUAAUCAUGGUAUAUUUUCCAUCUAAGUUCAGAAUGGAGUUUUUCUACAAGUAUACAGCUUUAUAUUCGUGGCGAAAGGCGAAAUAAAAUAAGGAGAAGAAGGUGAAUUCACUAGACCACUGCGGCAGAUAGGUAUUUAACUUCCUAGUGAACCAUGGGAGUUCACUGCUAUAUACUCCAUGAAUAUUCAUUUGGCCAAUCCGUAAUAGAUAUAUGAAAAGUAAGCUAAUUUCACGUUUUGAAAUGAGAAAUAUGUCAAGAUUUCCUGAAUUAAAUUCCAAUUUUCUUUCAGUGAAUACAAAAAGUGCCUAUUUCAUUGAAAUUCCCAAAACAAAUCAAAAAGUAGCUGAACGUUACUCCCACAAAAUAUACAAGUUUGGAGGUUUUGAUCCAUAUGCCAUUUGAGCAAGAGAUAUACGAGGUUACAGUCCUGAUGGAAUAUGAUGAUGUUGUGGUUUUUCUAGUUUUCACAAUCAGUUUUUAAACACAUCAGCAAAUGAAAGCAUUUAAGCGCUUAUCAGCCGACAAAUGCUCGCAUUAUAUCUGGGUUUUGCUGUUUGAAACAAAAUAUUCUGUGAGAAGUUUUUCACAAAAGGGUCAGUACAGAUGAAUAGGUGUACAUGUAAAGAAGGGAAUAAUGACCAUUUUAUGAUAAAAUGCUGCUAUGAGGAUUGUGAAAUAUAUUGGAUCCGAUCCAUGCGGAAAGUGUUGGGCUGACCAUUGUUCCUGACCAUUCGUUCAGCAGCGCUUGUACAAGCAAUUUACACAUGGAUCGAAUAGUUUUUUAAAAUGUAUAUACAUAAUAUGAUGUAAUGUGGUUGUAUUAAAUAAUCUCGAAUAGAUGCACUGUUCUAUACAAAA